rnacentral:rRNA from 1 species
CCUACGGGGGGCUGCAGUGGGGAAUAUUGGACAAUGGACCGAAAGUCUGAUCCAGCAAUUCUGUGUGCACGAUGAAGUUUUUCGGAAUGUAAAGUGCUUUCAGUUGGGAAGAAAUAAAUGACGGUACCAACAGAAGAAGUGACGGCUAAAUACGUGCCAGCAGCCGCGGUAAUACGUAUGUCACGAGCGUUAUCCGGAUUUAUUGGGCGUAAAGCGCGUCUAGGUGGUUAUGUAAGUCUGAUGUGAAAAUGCAGGGCUCAACUCUGUAUUGCGUUGGAAACUGUAUAACUAGAGUACUGGAGAGGUAAGCGGAACUACAAGUGUAGAGGUGAAAUUCGUAGAUAUUUGUAGGAAUGCCGAUGGGGAAGCCAGCUUGCUGGACAGAUACUGACGCUGAAGCGCGAAAGCGUGGGUAGCAAACAGGAUUAGAUACCCUUGUAGUC